rnacentral:tRNA from 1 species
GCCCGGUUAGCUCAGUCGGUAGAGCACCAGACUCUUAGUCUGGCUGUCGCGGGUUCGAGCCCGCACCGGGCU